GGCCCAAGCAACUGUUUACCAAAAACACAGGUUUGUGCUAAAUCGAAAGAUGACGUAUACGAGCUGACGCCUGCCCGGUGCUGGAAGGUUAAGAGGAGAUGUGCAAGCAUUGAAUCGAAGCCCCAGUGAACGGCGGCCGUAACUAUAACGGUCCUAAGGUAGCGAAAUUCCUUGUCAGGUAAGUUCUGACCCGCAUGAAAGGCGUAAUGAUUUGGGCACUGUCUCAACAGCCCGCCCGGCGAAAUUGUAGUACCGGUGAAGAUGCCGGUUACCCGCGACAAGACGGAAAGACCCCAUGGAGCUUUACUGUAGCCUAAUAUUGGGUUUCGAUGUUGCAUGCACAGGAUAGAUGGGACACUGGGAAGCAGGUGCUUUGGCGCUUGUGGAGUGGCCGUUGGGAUACCAUCCUUGCGAUAUUGGAAUUCUAACCUGCGGCUCUGAAUCGAGUCGGGGGACAUUGUUAGGUGGGCAGUUUGACUGGGGCGGUCGCCUCCUAAAGAGUAACGGAGGCGUUCAAAGGUUCGCUCAGCUUGAACGGAAAUCAAGCAAAAGAGUGCAAACGCAGAAGCGAGCCUAACUGCGAGACUGACGGGUCGAGCAGUAACGAAAGUUGGAGUUAGUGAUCCGGUGGUAUGUGAGUGGAAAUGCCAUCGCUCAACGGAUAAAAGUUACCCUGGGGAUAACAGGCUGAUCUCCCCCAAGAGUCCACAUCGACGGGGAGGUUUGGCACCUCGAUGUCGGCUCAUCGCAUCCUGGGGCUGUAUUCGGUCCCAAGGGUUUGGCUGUUCGCCAAUUAAAGCGGUACGCGAGCUGGGUUCAGAACGUCGUGAGACAGUUCGGUCCCUAUCUGUCGUGGGCGCAGGAUAUUUGAUGGGAGCUGUCCCUAGUACGAGAGGACCGGGACGGACGUACCUCUGGCGCACCAGUUGUUCCGCCAGGAGCAUAGCUGGGCAACUACGUACGGAUCGGAUAAACGCUGAAAGCAUCUAAGCGUGAAGCCGACCCAAAGAUAAGAUAUCCCA
rnacentral:rRNA from 1 species